rnacentral:rRNA from 1 species
UACGUAGGGGGCAAGCGUUGUCCGGAUUUAUUGGGCGUAAAGAGCGUGUAGGCGGCUAGGUAGGUCCGUUGUGAAAACUCGAGGCUCAACCUCGAGCUGUCGAUGGAAACCAUCUGGCUAGAGUCCGGAAGAGGAGAGUGGAAUUCCUGGUGUAGCGGUGAAAUGCGAAGAUAUCAGGAAGAACACCCGUGGCGAAGGCGGCUCUCUGGUACGUGACUGACGCUGAGACGCGAAAGCGUGGGGAGCGAACAGG